GCCAGUGUGGUAUAGAGGUUAGAGCAUUGGACUACAGCUCUGGAGACCAGGGUUUGAAUCCAUGCUCGAUCA